GGUUCUUCUUCUUUUGGGAUACUUUUUGUUUGGGAGAACCCAGUGCACUUGGGAUCAAGGCACUGUUUGGUUUUUGGCUUGCUGUGUGGGUGCCUGGGCUUAUCCCGGGCACUCUGUUCCUUGUAGCUAUUUUAAUAAACGAGAACUUCUUCCUCUGGAGAAAGUUUGGCCUCAUUCGUAUUCAUAACAUUUUUUGGGGACUCAUCCGAGAUAGGCCAUGCCCUGAAACCGUCCGGGGUAGCCCAGGACCUGGGAGACGCAUCCAGCCACCUUUUCGGCUGCCAGAGAUUGGACUACGUUGGACUGCAGAAGGGUUUGCGCCUAUACCCGAGGCUGCAAGGAACACAGCGACCCAAAAGAGCUUCUUUGCUGGCUGCUUAAGAGAAGACAUGAAGGUGCCAGAACCAAGAAGAGGCCUCAGGUUUCUGCAAAACUUUGAAGUUCUUUACUGCUCUAGCUGAAGUCUAGGGAUAACAAGUAAGUUAACUGAAAAACAUCCAAUUUCUUUCUACCUUUUG
rnacentral:lncRNA from 1 species